rnacentral:rRNA from 1 species
UACAGAGACUGCAAGCGUUACUCGGAUUCACUGGGCGUAAAGGGAGCGCAGGCGGACCGGUGUGUCAGAUGUGAAACCCAGGGCUCAACCCUGGGACUGCGUCUGAAACUGCCGGUCUAGGGACUCGGAGGGGCUAGUGGAAUUCCUGGUGGAGCAGUGAAAUGCGUAGAUAUCAGGAGGAACACCAACGGCGAAGGCAGCUAGCUGGACGAGAUCCGACGCUCAGGCUCGAAAGUAUGGGGAGCAAAAAGG